GACAGAGGGUGCAAGCGUUGUUCGGAAUUACUGGGCGUAAAGCGCGUGUAGGCGGCAGGGCAUGUCGGAUGUGAAAUCCCGUGGCUCAACCACGGAAGUGCACCCGAAACUGCCCAGCUUGAGUCUCGGAGAGGAAGGCGGAAUGCUUGGUGUAGAGGUGAAAUUCGUAGAUAUCAAGCGGAACACCGGUGGCGAAGGCGGCCUUCUGGACGAUGACUGACGCUGAGACGCGAAAGCGUGGGGAGCAAACAGG
rnacentral:rRNA from 1 species